rnacentral:lncRNA from 1 species
AUCUAUAUUGUAAAUUAAAAUAAAUAAAUAAAAUCAUUGAUUAAUAAUACUUGAAUAUUUAGACAAAGAAACAAACAAACAAACAAAAAAAACAACUAAAUGUGCAUACAAUUUAGGUGCUAAUUCACUCGAAAAAAUUAAAUCGGACACUCUAAAAUAAACAGUACAAAAUAUACUUAUUGAAAAAAUACAGCGUUUCUUCAAAUUUUAAUGAUUCAACCGAUUUGUC